UAGUCCACGCCGUAAACGAUGUCUACUUGGAGGUUGUGGCCUUGAGCCGUGGCUUUCGGAGCUAACGCGUUAAGUAGACCGCCUGGGGAGUACGGUCGCAAGAUUAAAACUCAAAUGAAUUGACGGGGGCCCGCACAAGCGGUGGAGCAUGUGGUUUAAUUCGAUGCAACGCGAAGAACCUUACCUACUCUUGACAUCCAGAGAAGCCAGCGGAGACGCAGGUGUGCCUUCGGGAGCUCUGAAACAGGUGCUGCAUGGCUGUCGUCAGCUCGUGUUGUGAAAUGUUGGGUUAAGUCCCGCAACGAGCGCAACCCUUAUCCUUGUUUGCCAGCGAGUAAUGUCGGGAACUCCAGGGAGACUGCCGGUGAUAAACCGGAGGAAGGUGGGGACGACGUCAAGUCAUCAUGGCCCUUACGAGUAGGGCUACACACGUGCUACAAUGGUGGUGACAGUGGGCAGCGACCUCGCGAGAGGAAGCUAAUCUCCAAAAGCCAUCUCAGUUCGGAUUG
rnacentral:rRNA from 1 species